rfam:Myotis davidii contig120825, whole genome shotgun sequence.
GGUGGUUCUCGGGUGGCACACCUUGGAAUCAGGCUCCCUCCUCUCUGGUUCUGGGUGCAUCACAUGAGAACCGCA